AACGAACGCUGGCGGCAGGCCUAACACAUGCAAGUCGAACGCUCCGCAAGGAGAGUGGCAGACGGGUGAGUAACACGUGGGAAUCUUCCUAUCGGUACGGAAUAGCUCAGGGAAACUUGAGGUAAUACCGCAUACGCCCUUCGGGGGAAAGAUUUAUCGCCGAUAGAUGAGCCCGCGUCUGAUUAGCUAGUUGGUGGGGUAAUGGCCUACCAAGGCGACGAUCAGUAGCUGGUCUGAGAGGAUGACCAGCCACACUGGGACUGAGACACGGCCCAGACUCCUACGGGAGGCAGCAGUGGGGAAUAUUGGACAAUGGGCGCAAGCCUGAUCCAGCCAUGCCGCGUGAGUGACGAAGGUCUUCGGAUUGUAAAGCUCUUUUGCCAGGGACGAUAAUGACGGUACCUGGAGAAUAAGCCCCGGCUAACUUCGUGCCAGCAGCCGCCGUAACAC
rnacentral:rRNA from 1 species